GCCCACCUCAGCCUUUAAUUAGCCACAGACCCAAUCCUUCAUCCAGAUUAGCAAACUGAAGUUCAAAGAAUUGGAUAACCUAGCCCAAGAUCAGACCUUUGGAGAAUGAAAGAAUCUGGAUUUGCACCCGGAACUUACUGGCUUCCACCUCUAAACACCAGCUUCCCUGUUCCAACUUUUCUAAAGUUGAAUGUUCUUCAUACAAAUAUCAGCAGGAAGACAUUGAGGCACAAAAUAAAUGGGGUAUUGUAUGAGAAUGCCUAGCUUUCAAUGAGCUUAUGUCUCCAAGCUUGGACAAAUUCCGGCUGGGGUACCAACAGAAUUUAUAUAUGAGAAGACUGUUGGCAGCUUUUCAGGGACUGUGGGGCCGGGGAGAGACGCCAGAAGACUGUGGCUGGGUACACACUAUUCCAUUUUGUGAAAAGGGGAAGAAGGUUGAUUCUGCAAACCAUAGAUGCCAGAGUCCUGGGCAAAGUUCUUGAAGGGCAUCCUAUAAACAUAAAAAAAGGGAAGUCAUUGCUAGGCACCAACAAGUUUUCAUUGAGAAGAGAUUAUUCCAAAUGAACCUAACUUCCAUUUCUCAUAAGGUGAAAAAUUGGUAUGGCUUUAUUUAGACAAUACAUUUUGCUCAUUUUCA
rnacentral:lncRNA from 1 species